GUUUGCUCAACAAGCAUCACUUCACGUUGAGCACUGCGAGUUGCUUAUUUUCUUCAAACAGUUUUUGUUUGUUCUAUCGUAGGGAAUUUUCAUCUGUAAGUUCAUUAGAAGUAUCUUCUUUUUUAAUAUGUACACACACACAUGCAUACACCACCAUGCUAUAUGUAUGGUACCUUUAACUUUAAAUUUUCCAGACACAACUAUUUAUUGCUAGAUUUUUUUUAUUUUGACAAAUAUAUGAGAAGGUGCCAACCUAUUUUGUAUUUGUUACAGCUAGAUAGUUAUAGAAAUUUCUUAUUCCCGUAUGCUUUUGAGGAACUCAGCCAUUUACUUCUUGCUUUUUUUAAGCAUUCGUUUAGUUUCAAUUAUGGAUAUGGAAUGCAGUAUUAAUUUCAGUAUUUAUGUUUUAAGAA
rnacentral:misc_RNA from 1 species